AUAGUGUGAAUCUUGUGAUCGCUGUCAGAGGUAUGACAAACUAAAGACACAGGCUUCAGAGUUGAAGCCUAUUAGGGUAAAGGCGCCUCUAGAACUGGUUGGGAUGGAUCUUAUCUUGGACCACUACCAACAACUGAUGCUGGGUCUAGGUACAUUCUUACCUUUACAGACUACUACACAAAAUUUGUGGAUUUCUACUCAUUGAAGGACAAGACUGCUAAUGGUGUGGUACAGAGAAUUAGAACUUUUGUAUGCAGAUGGGGUGCUCCCAAAAGACUUCUUUCUGAUCAGGGGAGAGAUCGAGUUUGUUUCACAAAUAUUGUCUAGACAAUGGAACGUGUCAUCUUGUUCAACAAAAUCGCCUGAGGAAGUGUUACGUACAUACUCACUUUGUCAGCUAGAAUUGUUCCGUUUCUUUGUGGUUGCAGGUGCUAGCUCUUCUAUUGUUCACAUGAGAAAGGAAUGACCAUUGUUGAUCGUACGUGGGCGAUCAACCUUGUCCUUAUUUUCGCGUAGUGACCGAAAUCGCUCUACAUGUACAAGAGCGCACGUGCCUGCUUGCGUCUGGUUGUUUUGCAUUGUGAGUUCAGCGUAUUCGAAACGUACACCCGACAAGACAUCGCCUACUGGUAGCACUCCUUACAGUGAUCUAAAAGAAUCACGUGAAUCCGUGGUAGAGGAAAAGACCAGAGAGAAGGCAUACAAGUGCAGCGUCGAUUUGCUGGGAAGACCUUGUUUCGAGAUUGGACGAAAGGUGAAGAAGAGCUUCUCGUUAUGUACGUGUCUUUACACUGUUUGGAGCUGGAUUCAGCAUGGCCCAAGUACUGUAGUGGUAACUGUAAGUGGGAAAAAGCAUCUAGAUUUCUCUAUGACAA